GAAAUGUGAGGUCAAAGUUAAACUAAACCCUGUUUUAUCAUGUAAACAUCGACAGCAUUUGUGGCAGAUGUCAGAAAAUGAUGAUCGGUCAUGGAAAAAAAGAAGAAGUUUAAAGUAACACAUUUCCUAGAAGCAAACUGGGCCAUUUUUCCAGAGGAUUUAAAAGCAGAAAUGUGAAAUUUGUGUUUUUAAGCACUUACAUUAAAUGAAUUGUUCAGUAAAAACCUGUGAUGUUAAAGUUGUUUCUGUUUUCUUUUUUGAUAAUUUUUCUAGGCAGAUGAACUUCUGGUCGUGUGUUUCUGCCGUAUAUGAAAUUUAAUGGUGUCACAUGGACGUUGAGAAGAAAAAAUCAGCUAAAAUUACACCAAUAAGGUUAGCAGUGAUUUGGACAAUUUGGACAUGGAGCCACAUUGAGAUCCUCAUAUCAGUGGGACUGAACCAUGUAGGGCCUUGAAAAAGAAGACAACCAAAGAAAAGUUUGUUAAGAACCGGAAUCUAAAAUCAUAUUGGAGUAUCUUUAAUACUUCAUGAGUUAC
ensembl:lncRNA